AGUGGGGGUGGGGUGCAAGGUCCGCACUGAGGAAGCUCUGGGCACCUUAGUGCCCGGGCAGGGAUCCCUCAGAUCCACGCGUCCGCAUCCCUCCUGGCGGGGUUCUCCGCGCCUCCCCGCCAACCUUUGCCCUUGGCGGUGCUCGCUGACCCUGGGGUGUUGCUUCAUCCUGACUCCCAAGUUUGACUCCCGAUGGCUAAUGAUCUUGAGAUUGGUUUCUGUUGUAAAUCUGUGAUAAAUAUCAGAUUGCCAGAUGUCAGUGAAUGGGAUGAGACCACCUGUCCACACCUUGUUUGCCAGCAUCCACAGUGUUGGGCAACAGUCCGAAGGCUUCAGAGGGGCCAUCCUCGAAUUCUUCAGCCAAUUUCCAGAGCUCCCAAGAAAAGUGAAGAUGGACUGCCAACUCUCAAGAUAGUAGACUUAUCUUUACCUGAUUCUUCCAUUUUGGCCAAGAGAAUCACCGAUUCGGUCCCAUUCUUCAAGCAUCCUACUUCUUUGAUUGGAGACUCUAAAUUUGAGUUGGAUUUACAAAGCAGUUUGGAAGGACCACAUUUGUUAGGACUCAAAUCUCUGAGAGGCUUCCACGGUCAGGGUGUUGCCCAGAAGUCUCGAAAACCUGUCAAACUCCCAGUGCUGAAUUUGAAUGCAACACAUCUUCCAAAAUGUCCAGAUGGUAGAAAUUUGGUUAUGGUAUGGAUCCCAAAUGAACAAGUGAAACGCAAGAAACCUGACCAGAACUAUAGGACAAAUUUAUUUAGACUGAGCCCGGAUAAGAAAUCAUUUGUACCCUUGAAGAUCAGCAAAAUUAUACCAUGCCAGGAGUGGAUCAGCAAGAGAGAAUCUCAGAAGAAAAAGAAAUCAACAGAAAUCCCUACUGGUGGGCAGCCCUGUUCUAGCCAGUUGAUGCAUCGAUGGCUAAAGGUGCCCCCACCAUCUCCAGACACCCCACCUUCAUAUCCGGAAUCCUUGCCUUCCUGUACCUUCACAUUCCCCAAGCGUUCAGUAAUGAGCUCUUUGUCUGAUGAAGAGAAAACAAUUUCAAAGAUGGACCAACUGGACAGAAUAAGUGAAGAGAACCUUUUUCAUGAAGGGCAUGGAUUUAUGUUGUCUAAGACAAAGAUGAUUCUGGCUGUGCACAGAAUAAACCUUCAGGAGCUCAAAGAGAAAUCAAAGAGCGGGAAGCUUUUGGAGUUAAAUCAAGUUUCCAUCAAUAGCAACUUCCUGCAUCAAAAAGACAGUGUAGUCUCAGCCAAAGAAGACCAGACACAACAGUGGGAGCAUGAAGCUCAGGAAGUGGAAGCAGAGGAAACCUCUAAGUCUCCUUUGGCUGUCAAUGGAAAGAAGUUGGAGGAGGAACUUCUAGAGCCCGUACAGAUUCCUCAGGCUUCUGCUGAGCAACAGGAGGAGCCACCCACCCCACCAUCUAGCCUAGAAGCUCCGGGUUAACUUGUAUGGUCUGGAUCUGCUUUCCUGGAGGAAGACAGGAGUGGACUGGAAUAUGGAAAGGGAGCUACUGUAUUACUCUGCAUCUCACAAGACUCAGUGAGAGGUCUGGCACUCUAUCCACUGAGCCACCUAGCUGCAGGAAUUUUUCCCACAUACAAAUCUCUCCAGGGCUGUGCAGGC